rnacentral:rRNA from 1 species
GUUAGUGGCGGACGGGUGAGUAACACGUGGGAACGUGCCUUUAGGUUCGGAAUAGCUCCUGGAAACGGGUGGUAAUGCCGAAUGUGCCCUUCGGGGGAAAGAUUUAUCGCCUUUAGAGCGGCCCGCGUCUGAUUAGCUAGUUGGUGAGGUAACGGCUCACCAAGGCGACGAUCAGUAGCUGGUCUGAGAGGAUGACCAGCCACACUGGGACUGAGACACGGCCCAGACUCCUACGGGAGGCAGCAGUGGGGAAUCUUGCGCAAUGGGCGAAAGCCUGACGCAGCCAUGCCGCGUGAAUGAUGAAGGUCUUAGGAUUGUAAAAUUCUUUCACCGGGGACGAUAAUGACGGUACCCGGAGAAGAAGCCCCGGCUAACUUCGUGCCAGCAGCCGCGGUAAUACGAAGGGGGCUAGCGUUGCUCGGAAUUACUGGGCGUAAAGGGCGCGUAGGCGGAUCGUUAAGUCAGAGGUGAAAUCCCAGGGCUCAACCCUGGAACUGCCUUUGAUACUGGCGAUCUUGAGUAUGAGAGAGGUAUGUGGAACUCCGAGUGUAGAGGUGAAAUUCGUAGAUAUUCGGAAGAACACCAGUGGCGAAGGCGACAUACUGGCUCAUUACUGACGCUGAGGCGCGAAAGCGUGGGGAGCAAACAGGAUUAGA